CCUACGGGUGACAGCAGUGAGGAAUAUUGGUCAAUGGACGAGACUCUGAACCAGCCAAGUAGCGUGAAGGAUGACUGCCCUAUGGGUUGUAAACUUCUUUUAUAUGGGAAUAAAAUGUUCCACGUGUGGGAUUUUGUAUGUACCAUAUUAAUAAGGAUCGGCUAACUCCGUGCCAGCAGCCGCGGUAAUACGGAGAAUCCGAGCGUUAUCCGGAAUUAUUGGGUUUAAAAGGAGCGUAGGUGGAUUGUUAAGUCAGUUGUGAAAGUUUGCGGCUCAACCGUAAAAUUGCAGUUGAAACUGGCAGUCUUGAGUACAGGAGAGGUGGGCGGAAUUCGUGGUGUAGCGGUGAAAUGCGUAGAUAUCACGAAGAACUCCGAUUGCGAAGGCAGUUCACUGGACUGCAACUGACACUGAGGCUCGAAAGUGUGGGUAUCAAACAGGAUUAGAUACCCCUGUAGUC
rnacentral:rRNA from 1 species